rnacentral:lncRNA from 1 species
CCCAUGGCCAGGGUGAGGUGUGGGCAGAGCCCCACGUCCCCUCCAUGCCAGGGGGACACGGGUCUGGUGCUGAGGGGGUUUUGGGCAGAGCUGCAGCUCUGGUUUGGGUUGGAAGGAACCUCAAAGCUCCUCUCAUUCCACCAGACCAGGCUGAUUUUCAUUUUUUCUCCUCCAGCUGGCUUUGUCUCGGAACUCUCCUUGAGAAAAAUGGAUUUUAUCCAACCAAUGAAGCCAGCCUGGCACCAGAAUCACCCCGCUCACCCCAAAUGCGGUGGCCCUGGAUGGCCCUGCCAGCGCAGGCACCGGGACAUCGACCCGUGGGAUGUUUCCCUGCUGAGUCACGGGGGAGCAGCCCCAUGGGGCUUUGCCCGGUCGGAGGAAAGGAUUUGGAAAGGAUUUGCUUUGGAACAGGCCAGCAGGUCACGGCAAAGCAAACAGCUCCCGAAGGACUGGAGAUAUCCCAGCGCGGCCGGGACGGGAUGCAAAUGUCCCGAGAGAACAAAUAAACAGGCGGAGAGGCAGCUCCCGCGGGCAGCAGGGAAUCCUGGAAUCCACAGCAGGAGAGGAGGGGAUCGGCCCCUUGGCUCCAGGGCACAGCGGCAGCACCACGCGGAGCUGCUGGAGCCGGUCCCCAGCUGCUCCUGUCCCCGUGUGCCACCUCCACCGGGCUUGAAAUCCCCCCAGGGAUCCCUCCAGCCCUUCCCACAAAGAAAUUUUCCCAGCGUCCAACCAAAAUCUCUCUGGUGCAUCUUGAGGCCACUUCCUCUGGGAUGGAUGGGGAGACCUCGGCAUUGUUGUCCCCAUCUCAUUCUCCACCGGGGACAGCCCAGAGUUCCCCAGAGCCCAGGACAAGGCUGGGGAUGAUUUUUCCUGCAGGCCUGCCUGGCUUUCCUCCAGCUCCGGGUGGAUUCCUGCAGUCGCAGGUCAGCUGGAUGUUCUGUGCCGCUCCACACGCCCCAGCUCCCCUUGUCAGCUCCACAAACCCAUCAGGCCCAGCCAGAUAACGCGCCCAGGCUCUGCCAUCUCUCCCCAGAUCUGCGGAUAUUCCAAGCCUCUCUAAGCUCCGGGCUGGAUUUUUCAGGCGGGCAGAUGAUGACUUCAAAGGCACCGGUGCUCAUCGGAUGGAAAAUCUGCGGCUGCCUGGUGGGAGAGGGGAGGUGGCACUGCCCAGCCCCUGCAGAGCCCGCUGUCACCUGGACAGAGACACCCGGAGUUUCCAAGGGGCUGCCUUUGGGAUGAGAACACAAAUCCAGGCUUCACCCACCUUCCCAGGGCUGUUAAAAUUCCCGGUUUAACAGGGGAGAAGGAGGAGGAGGAAGGUUUGCUUUGAUUUCCACAUCCCUGCGGAUUUGUGCACAAAGGGUUUGGGGAUGAAACUCCUCUCUGCUGCAGGAAUAAACAUUCUGCCCCAAAACA